GACGAACGCUGGCGGCGUGCUUAACACAUGCAAGUCGAACGGAAAGGCCUGCUUUCCCUUGUGGAUUGCGGGUACUCGCGUGGCGAACGGGUGAGUAACACGUGAGUGAUCUGCCCCCAACUUGGGUAUAAGCCUGGGAAACUGGGUCUAAUUCCCGAUAGGACUGCAGGGUGGUGCCUGUGGUGGAAAACGAUUUUCUAGUGGUUGGGGAUGAGCUCGCGGCCUAUCAGCUUGUUGGUGGGGUAAUGGCCUACCAAGGCGGCGACGGGUAGCCGGCCUGGGAGGGUGGACGGCCACAUUGGGACUGAGAUACGGCCCAGACUCCUACGGGAGGCAGCAGUGGGGAAUAUUACACAAUGGGCGGAAGCCUGAUGCAGCGACGCCGCGUGGGGGAUGACGGCCUUCGGGUUGUAAACUCCUUUCGACCGCGAGGAAGCCACCUGGUUGGAAGGGUGGUGACGGUAGUGGUAGAAGAAGCACCGGCUAACUACGUG
rnacentral:rRNA from 1 species